ensembl:lncRNA
GGAUGUCUCAUGUGCUUGUUGUCAGUUCUGUUUUCCUUGCUCGUGUCUGAAUUUUUGGAUGUUUGUUUAAGUUUUAAAUGUUUGUGACUGCACCUCGAUCCUGCUUUUUCCAUGUUAUGGUUGUUUUAUGGUGUACAACAAAAUGUCCAAGAAUCUUCGAGUUAUGUUUACCACAGAUUUAAUUUUUUCAUGAAUUGAAAAACCCAGUUAUAAAAGCCCAUCAGAAAAUCUCAAGGGAAAUCAUGCCGAAUUCUUCCUGAAACGGCUGUUGUUGUCAUAGAUUAUGACACGAAGGAAUGACUAAUACACAAAACACUGGAGCAGGGGCGCAAAGGGGCUGCAGUUGUCAUCAAGCUAAAUGAACUGUGAAUAUUUUCAUGGUGCGUGUCAUUAGCAGCUUAGAUUUGUUUCAACAAGGCUUACCUGAGGGCUUGGCCCUCAGGUAUGAAUGGGCUAAUGCACACUCUAAAGCAAAGCCUUCUCCCCUCCGCAGGCAUCUGCAAGCCGAAAGAAGCCUCAUGUUUUCUCCAUUAUGAGAGCAUUCCUGCGCAGACAGGUCAGUCAGUAGUUUGCACAUGGAACUUGCUGAAUCCAUUGAUUUGAAAAGGGCC